UGGGUAACCUGCCCUCAACUCUGGGAUAAGCCUGGGAAACUGGGUCUAAUACCGGAUAUGACUUCAAGUUGCAUAGCUUGGGGUGGUAAAGUUUUUCGGUUGGGGAUGGGCCCGCGGCCUAUCAGCUUGUUGGGUGGGGUGAUGGCCUACCAAGGCGACGACGGGUAGCCGGCCUGAGAGGGCGACCGGCCACACUGGGACUGAGACACGGUCCAGACCUCCGUACGGGGAG
rnacentral:rRNA from 1 species